GGCAAGGUGCUAGAGUGGUGAUUAGGUGAGACUCGAAAUCUCAUGCCUUCGGGCGCGCAGGUUCGAAUCCUGUCCUUGUCG
rnacentral:tRNA from 1 species